ACAAUCUUGUUUUCUUUCACUGGAAGCUAAAUAACCUGGUCCUGAUCGUCGACAAGACCAAGGAGAUCAUUGUUGACUUCAGGAAGCACCAGUCCAGCCACACUCCACUCUUCAUCAACGGCACAGCGGUGGAGAUGAGACACUAUAGAGAGCCUGCUGACCAACAGCAUCUCUGUCUGGACUGGAGCCUGCAAUGCCUCAGAGUGGAAAUCUCUCCAGCGAGUGAUUAUCAGGACUCCUCUUCCUCCUAUCCAGGAGAUCGGAAAAAGCUGAUGCCUGACCAGGGCUCAGAAAAUCUGCAAAGACUCCUCCCACCCCCGCCAAGGACUGUUUUCACUGCUGGACUCUAGGAAGAGGUUCCGCAGCCUCCGUAGCAGAACCUCCGGGUUCUGUAACAGCUUCUUCCCUCAGGCCGUAAGACUCUUGAAAGCAUCAUAAUUGAAUUAACGCAUCAUAAUUAAAUUAUCCCCUCAACUCCCCCCAAAAUGGAUUAACUCGCUGGAAUUAAAAUACAAUAUAAAAUACAACCAUAAACAUGGACGCAUGUGAAAAAGUGCAAUGUAUUUAUCUGUACCGUAAUCUAUUCAUUUAUAUCUGCACCUUGUUGCUUUUUAAAAAAAAUGUUUUUAUCCUGCACUACCAAGCACUAAUGCAACGACAUUUCGUUCUUAUUUGUAUUGUAAAAUUCAAAUUUGAAUGACAAUAAAAAGGAAGUCUAAGUCUAAGUCUAA